rnacentral:rRNA from 1 species
GACGAACGCUGGCGGCGUGCUUAACACAUGCAAGUCGAACGGAAAGGCCCUGCUUUUGUGGGGUGCUCGAGUGGCGAACGGGUGAGUAACACGUGAGUAACCUGCCCUUGACUUUGGGAUAACUUCAGGAAACUGGGGCUAAUACCGGAUAGGAGCUCCUGCUGCAUGGUGGGGGUUGGAAAGUUUCGGCGGUUGGGGAUGGACUCGCGGCUUAUCAGCUUGUUGGUGGGGUAGUGGCUUACCAAGGCUUUGACGGGUAGCCGGCCUGAGGGUGACCGGCCACAGUGGGACUGAGAUACGGCCCAGACUCCUACGGGAGGCAGCAGUGGGGAAUAUUGCACAAUGGGCGGAAGCCUGAUGCAGCAACGCCGCGUGCGGGAUGACGGCCUUCGGGUUGUAGACCGCUUUCGCCUGUGACGAAGCGUGAGUGACGGUAAUGGGUAGAGAAGCACCGGCUAACUACGUG